UUUAUUUUACAGGUGGUGCAUACAAGUAUAUCUGGGCUGAGUCUCCGUGCGAAAGGUGCGAAGCAAGAAAUGGGGAAGGUUUUGGUGACGGGAGCUUCGGGCUUCCUCGUCGGCCGCCUCUGCCACCGGCUCCUUGCUGAGGGCCACGCCGUCUGUGCCUUCGUGCGGCGGAGCAGCGACCUCAGCUCCCUGCCCCUCUCGCACCCCGCGCUUGAGCUCGCCUACGGGGACGUUACCGACCUACCCUCUCUCGUCGAUGCCCUCCAGGGCUGUGACGCCCUCUUCCAUGCCGCUGCGCUCGUCGAGCCCUGGCUGCCCGACCCUUCCAGAUUCUUCACAGUAAAUGUGGGAGGUCUACAGAAUGUGUUGCGAGCAUUUCAAGAAACAAAGACACUGAAGAAGAUUAUAUACACAUCGUCCUUUUUCGCUCUUGGUCCAACUGAUGGCUACAUUGCAGAUGAGAAACAGAUACAUCAAGGACAGACAUUUUGCACAGAAUAUGAAAAGUCUAAAGCUGUUGCAGAUAAAAUUGCAUUGCAAGCUGCAGCUGAUGGGACACCAAUUGUUCUUCUUUACCCAGGAGUCAUCUAUGGUUCCGGGAAACUUACAGCUGGAAAUGUUAUUGCACGAAUACUGAUCGAGCGUUUUAAUUGGAGGCUACCUGGUUAUAUAGGUGAUGGGAAUGAUAGGGAAUCACUUUGCCAUGUCGAAGAUGUGGUCAGUGGACAUGUUGCAGCUAUGCAUAAGGGACAAUUAGGCGAACGCUACUUGCUCACCGGAGAAAAUGUAUCACUUAAUCAAGUCUUUGACAAGGCUGCAGCCAUCACCAAAACAAGCAAGCCAUAUAUCCACAUCCCCCUGGGCAUAAUAGAAAUCUAUGGCUUUAUAUCUGUUUUCUUUUCUCGAAUCACAGGAAAGCUUCCACUCAUCAGCUACCCCACUGUGAGGGUGUUGAGACAUCAAUGGGCAUACUCGUGUGAUAAGGCCAAAGAGGAGUUGAGAUAUAGCCCGAGAAACUUGAACGAAGGACUGUCUGAGAUGCUUCUCGGGCUCAAAGCAUCAGGGAUGAUUAGAUACUGAGUUGGUAAUUACUUGCCAGCAUACUGAUUUGUGAGUUCAAAUGGAAUUUGCAACAUACUGAGCCAUUUGAAGAAAAGGCAUUUUGGCUGCAUGCUGAGCGGAAAAGUUUGUGGUUCAUUUCUAACAAGUGGCUCACUGUACCAUAAUUUGUGGUUAUUGUGUCGUCUUUGAGUAUUGUUCAUAUGAAUUCUCCCAGAUGUAAUAUUGGCCCUCAAUAUAUUAAGUCUACGUGAUCAUUGUGUCCUGUGGCUGUGGUUAUGAUCAAUUAUUAAUUUAUAUUUUAAAGUUAAA